rnacentral:rRNA from 1 species
GAUGAACGCUGGCGGCGUGCCUAACACAUGCAAGUCGAGCGAACAGACGAGGUGCUUGCUCCUCGGACGUUAGCGGGGGGCGUGUGACUAAACUGUGCUUAACCUACCUAUAAGACUGGGAUAACUUCCGGAAACCGGAGCUGAUACCGGAUAAUAUCUUGAACGUCAUGGUUCAAUAGUUAUAGACGGUUUUGCUGUCACUUAUACUUGGAUCCGCGCCGCAUUGGCUAGGUGUUAAGGUAACGUCUUACCAAGGCCACCAUGCGUAGCCGACCUGCGAGGGUGAUGGGCCACACUGGGACUGAGACACGGUACAGACUCCGAGGGGAGGCAGAGGUAGGGAAUCUUCCGCAAUGGGCGAAAGCUUGACGGAGGAACGCCGCGUGAGUGAUGAAGGGCUUCGGAUCGUAAAACUCUGUUAGUAGGGAAGACCAAAUGUGUAAGUAGCUAUGCACGUCUUGACGGUACCUGAACAAAAAGCCACGGCUAACUACGUG